rnacentral:sRNA from 1 species
GGACCUUGCACCAAGCAGCCAUAGCUGAGAGUUGGGGAAUCAAGUCUCUCUUCAGGAGCCUGGGCUGGAAGAGGCAGCGAAAGGGAAAAUCAGAAGAGUGGGCACUGGCAAGAGGAGGGCAGCCUUUUUCCCAGCUUCCUUGCACCAUGGACAGCUCCCAUUAAGCCACCUCUCCAUCCUGGGGCCGGGACUCUUAUGCCCCAUUCCUGUCAUAUUGAGAUUUCAUCCACCAUUCUCCAAGGACAGUGAAGUUAUACCUUAGUUCCAGUGUUGGGAUCAGUGGCCCCUCUGGACAUGCCUCUCCUGGAAGGUUCUGUGGGGGUGGAGGAUCUUGUCCUCCUGGAACCCUUGGUGGAGGAGUCACUGCUCAAGAAUCUUCAGCUUCGCUAUGAAAACAAGGAGAUUUAUACCUACAUUGGGAAUGUGGUGAUCUCGGUGAAUCCCUAUCAACAGCUUCCCAUCUAUGGGCCAGAGUUCAUUGCCAAAUAUCAAGACUAUACUUUCUAUGAGCUGAAGCCCCAUAUGUGAGUAGGGGGACCAAGGGAAGGCUGACAGGGCCCCAGCUUCUUGACACUGAGUCAU